GUGGCGAACGGGUGAGUAACACGUGGGCAAUCUGCCCUGCACUCUGGGACAAGCCCUGGAAACGGGGUCUAAUACCGGAUAUGACCUGGGAGCGCAUGCUUCUGGGUGGAAAGCUUCGGUGGUGCAGGAUGAGCCCGCGGCCUAUCAGCUUGUUGGUGGGGUGAUGGCCUACCAAGGCGACGACGGGUAGCCGGCCUGAGAGGGCGACCGGCCACACUGGGACUGAGACACGGCCCAGACUCCUACGGGAGGCAGCAGUGGGGAAUAUUGCACAAUGGGCGGAAGCCUGAUGCAGCGACGCCGCGUGAGGGAUGACGGCCUUCGGGUUGUAAACCUCUUUCAGCAGGGAAGAAGCGCAAGUGACGGUACCUGCAGAAGAAGCACCGGCUAACUACGUGCCAGCAGCCGCGGUAAUACGUAGGGUGCGAGCGUUGUCCGGAAUUAUUGGGCGUAAAGAGCUCGUAGGCGGCUUGUCGCGUCGGAUGUGAAAGCCCGGGGCUUAACCCCGGGUCUGCAUUCGAUACGGGCAGGCUAGAGUGUGGUAGGGGAGAUCGGAAUUCCUGGUGUAGCGGUGAAAUGCGCAGAUAUCAGGAGGAACACCGGUGGCGAAGGCGGAUCUCUGGGCCAUUACUGACGCUGAG
rnacentral:rRNA from 1 species